CCUACGGGUGGCUGCAGUCGAGAAUCUUCGGCAAUGCGCGCAAGCGUGACCGAGCGACGCCGCGUGCGGGAUGAAGGCCUUCGGGUUGUAAACCGCUGUCAGUGGGGAGGAAAUCGAUCGGGGUUCUCCCCGGUCGUUGACCUAUCCGCAGAGGAAGUACGGGCUAAGUUCGUGCCAGCAGCCGCGGUAAUACGAACCGUACGAACGUUAUUCGGAAUUAUUGGGCUUAAAGGGUACGUAGGCGGCGCUGUUAGUCGGGUGUGAAAGCCCUCGGCUCAACCGAGGAAUUGCGCCCGAUACUGCAGUGCUUGAGGGAGACAGAGGUAAGCGGAACUGAUGGUGGAGCGGUGAAAUGCGUUGAUAUCAUCAGGAACACCGGUGGCGAAAGCGGCUUACUGGGUCUCUUCUGACGCUGAGGUACGAAAGCUAGGGGAGCGAAG
rnacentral:rRNA from 1 species